ensembl:lncRNA
AUGAUUUUAGAUGAAUGCGCACCUGUGAAAACUCGAACUGUUUCAUUUGUGCAUUCAGCUCCUUGGUUUACACCUGAACUGCGUGAACUUAAAACUAAAGGCCGUAGGUUAGAGCGGCUGUACGUCAGGUCUGGCCUUACUGUUCAUAAAGAAAUGUAUGCUGAACAUAUUCAAAAUUAUAAAAAUGCACUGACUACAGCUAAAUCCGAUUACUACUCCAAUGUAAUUGGAGUUAGCAAUGGGAACUCUAGGUCUCUUUUCUUGGUGGUAAACAAUAUUCUGAAACCACCUGAUUCUUUGCCAUCUGAUAUGUAUUCCACUGACUUAUGUGAUCGCUUUUUGACUUUUUUUACAUCUAAGGUUGAAAAUGUACAUCGGCAAUUACUUACUGGUACUCUUUACAAUGACUCCUGUCAGUCUAUCACUCACACACCUCCCCACUCUGUUUUCUCUAACUUUACACUACCAACUAUUUCAGAGAUAGUGGGUCUGAUAGGUAAAUCUAAAUCUUCGACUUGUCAGUUAGACCCUCUACCAACUCCUUUAGUAAAAGCUUGUUUACCAGCCCUUUUGCCGUUGAUUACUAAAAUUGUUCAUGCUUCACUUGGUUCUGGUUUUGUAUCUCCAUCUCUUAAAUCUGCUAUUAUUACACCCAUACUUAAGAAACCAGGGGGUGAUCCAUUUGAUUUUGAAAAUUUUCGUCCAAUUUCAAAUUUACCAUUCAUCUCUAAGGUAGUUGAAAAGUGUAUUGCAAUUCAAAUUCAUGAACAUCUGUCCAAUAACAACUUGUAUGAACAAUUCCAAUCUGGUUUUCGUCCCCACCACAGCACUGAAACUGCUCUUGUCAGAAUAACCAAUGAUCUACUGUUGGCAGCUGACUCUGGGCUUUUAACUAUACUUGUCCUUCUUGACUUGAGCGCUGCCUUUGAUACUGUCUCACAUAACAUACUUCUUGACAGAUUAGUUUCCAUUGGUAUUACUGGCACUGCUCUGUCUAAGACUAUCUACAGUCACCACUGGUGUUCCCCAGGGUUCUGUUUUGGGCCCGCUUCUCUUCAUUAUAUAUAUGCUCCCUCUUGGUGA